UCGAUAUGGCUUAGCGCUCGUUAGCUGGCUUACCAAGUCUUCGUGUGAAAUCCCCCGGCUUAACCUUGGAACUGCCUUUGAUACUGGUUGCCUCUGAGUGCGGUAGGGGCAUAUGGAAYUCCCGGUGGAGCGGUGAAAUGCGUAGAUAUCUGGAGGAACGCCAGUGGCGAAAGCGCAUCUGCUGGGACCUCUUCUGACGCUGAGGCGCGAAAGCUAGGGGAUCAAACGGGGAUUAGAUACCCCGGUAGUCCUAGCCCUAAACUAUGGGUACUA
rnacentral:rRNA from 1 species